UUUUUUUUUUUUGCUUCUUAGGGCCGCACCCACAGCAUAUGGAGAUUCCCAGACUAGGGGUCAAAUCAGAGCUGAAGCCACCGGCCUACAGCACGACCUGAGCAACACAGGAUCCAAGCUGCAACUGUGACCUUCACCACAGCUCAUGGCCACACCAGACGCCCAACCCACUGAGCGAGGCCAGGGAUCGAACCCAAAACCUCACGGUUCCAGGUCGGAUUCAUUUCCACUGUGCCAUGACGGGAACUCCCAUGUGGAAAUUUUUUGAACUAUUAACUCUGGGAUGAGUGGGGAAAUACAACCAAAAUUAUAGACUUUCUAAAAAAUAAGGAUACAAAAAUGCUACCCAUCAGCAUCUGAGAUGCAUUUAAAGAAGUGAUCACAGAGACAAUUCACGCUAAUAAACACUGUUGUUUAAAAAGAUGAGAAGGAGUUCCCGCUGUAACACAGCUGGGUUAAAAAUCUGACGGCAGCGCCGGGGGUUGCUGUGGAGGUGCAGGUUCAAUUCCCGGACCCGUGCAGUGGGUUAAAGGAUCCAGCGUCGCCACAGCUGUGGCACGGGCCACAGCUGUGGCACGGGUCACAGCUGUGUCUCAGACUCGGUCCCUAGCCCGGGAAUUUCCAUAUGCUUCGGGUGGCGCCAUAAAGUUGAAAGAGUUUUAAAAAUUAAAAAAUAUAAAAACGAAUAUACACUAAAAUUUCAAACCAAAAAAGCUUAGAAAAAGAAGUCAGUCAGUCAAUAGAGAGCAUAUGAAAGGAAAUAAUCAAAAUGAAAACAGGCAUUAUGUGGUAAAGAACAGAAAAAACAGCCAUGAUUAGCAAACCAAAAUCCUCUUUUUUUUUUUUUUUUUGUCUUUUGUCUUUUGAGGGCCUCGCCUGCGGCAUAUGGAGGUUUCCAGGCUAGGGGUCCAAUCGGAGCUGUAGCAACGCAGGAUCGGAGCCGCAUCUGCGACCUACCCCACAGCUCCCAGCAACGCCGGAUCCCCAACCCACUGGGCGAAGCCAGAGAUUGAACUCAAAACCUCAGGGUUUCUAGUCGGAUUUGUUAACCACUGAGCCACGAGAGAACUCCAAAAUCCUCGUUUUUAAAUUAACGGAAUAGGUCAUCCAUUAGUUAACUGAGAUAAAAGGAGAAAACCAAAUACACAAAAUAAGAAAUAACAAGGGGAAAUCAACAGUGAAACAAAAGCAAGAGUAAAAAUCCUGAGGGGCCACUUUGCCUCAGUGUCUACAAAUAAACUGGAAACCUGGGUAAAAGCGAGAAUACCCUAGGGCAGCACAGCACCAAACUGGCCCUGCUAGAGAUGGACGCUUAGACCUGUUUCCACCGAAGAAGUAAAGUUACCGGGAACCACCUCUCCCGCCGCCCAAAAAAACACAGUGGGCCUGGAUAAUUUCACAGAAAAAUUCCACCAAAUUCUUAAGGACCGGGUGGUCUCAAAACUUUACAGAUCACCCCACAGCACUGAAAAUAAGGGGGCAACUUCUGUACCGUUUUUCUAACGCAGGAAGAACACCGGUAACCUAACCAUGAUAAGAGAGCAUGAAAGAAGUAUCGUUUAUGGAUACUGAGGCAAAAGCACUACCGAAACAUUAUCCAACAGAGUACGACUCCACUGCAACUGGAGUUCCCAUCGGGGCUCAGUGGUUAGCAAACCUGACUCGCACCCCUGAGGACGCGGGUUUGAUCCCUGUCAGAUCCCCUUCCACUGCACCGCUAUGGGAACUCCUGUUUGUGCCAUUUUUUUUGACCACACCUGCAGAUAUGGACAUUCCCAGACCAGGGAUCAAACCCACACCUCAGCACUGACCCAAGCCACUACAGAGAAAAAACCAGAUCUUUAACUGGCUGCGCCACAAGGGAACCAGCUUGUGCAUUUUUUUUCUUGCUUUUUAGGGCUGCACCCAUGGAAUAUGGAAGUUCCCAGGCUAGAGGUCCAAAUGGAGCUGCAGCCACCAGCUGACACCACAGCAACACGGGAUCCGAGCCACACCUGCGACCUACACCACAGCUCACGGCAACGCUGGCUCCUCAACCCACUGAGCGAGCCAGGGAUCCCCAUGUCCUUGUGAUGCCAGCUGGAUUCAUUUUCAAUGCGCCACAAUUCCCUCUGUGCACUUUUUAAUUGGGUUAUUUGUCUUUCUCCUGUCUCCACCUAUCUUUC
rnacentral:lncRNA from 1 species